rnacentral:lncRNA from 1 species
GCCUUUAACCUUCCUCCACGUAAGGACACAGUGAACAAGGUGCCAUCUUGGAAACAAACAGCAGCCUUCACCAGACACCAGACCUUCUGGCACCUUGACCUUGCGCUUUCCAGCCUCCAGAACCGACUAGAACUAUUGCCACUGAGGGCAGGUGAAAGUUCAGCCAACUCGGAACCCGGAGGCCCCACCUUACCUCCCUUUGUGAAGAGCCCAGAGCCUUUGUCCAAAGCUGCAUCACUUCCCACCCAGCCCUUCCUGAGCCAACUCCCCGAUGUCUCCAGAAGAACACAGUCGGCAUCAUCGUGAUAACAUCAGGGAAACUCCUAUUUCCAGCAGUUUCUCCUUCAGCUGCAAAAAUGUGCAGCAGUAGACAGGGCGUGGGUUUUUGAAGUCUCUGCAGGAAGUAGAGUUAUUUUCUCAGCACCACAUCUGAGCGCAUCUUCUAAGGGUGGCCGACUGUGUGGGAGCUGCAGGAGCUCAGCCGGGAUGCAGCCCUCCCAUUCCCCACCCUGUCCACUACCACCACGCCUGGAUCCGACAGGCAGGGCAGGACCCCAUGCCACGUGGUAACUGUUAAGGAAAAUGGAGCC